rnacentral:rRNA from 5 species
AAAUUGAAGAGUUUGAUCAUGGCUCAGAUUGAACGCUGGCGGCAGGCCUAACACAUGCAAGUCGAACGGUAGCACAGAGAGCUUGC